rnacentral:rRNA from 1 species
CUUGGUCAUUUAGAGGAAGUAAAAGUCGUAACAAGGUUUCCGUAGGUGAACCUGCGGAAGGAUCAUUAAAGAGACGUUGCCCUUCGGGGUAUACCUCCCACCCAUUGUUUAUUAUACCUUUGUGGCUUUGGCAGACCCGGCUUCGGCCCACCGGCUCCGGCUGGUCGGUGUCUGCCAGAGGACCUAAAACUCUGUUUGUUAAUAUUGUCUGAGUACUAUAUAAUAGUUAAAACUUUCAACAACGGAUCUCUUGGUUCUGGCAUCGAUGAAGAACGCAGCGAAAUGCGAUAAGUAAUGUGAAUUGCAGAAUUCAGUGAAUCAUCGAAUCUUUGAACGCACAUUGCGCCCUCUGGUAUUCCGGGGGGCAUGCCUGUUCGAGCGUCAUUACAACCCUCAAGCUUUGCUUGGUAUUGGACAUUGCCAGUUUCUGGCAGGUCUUAAAAUCAGUGGCGGUGCCAUUUGGCUUCAAGCGUAGUAAUUCUUCUCGCUUUGGAGAUCCAGGUGGUUACUUGCCAAUAACCCCCAAUUUUUUCAGGUUGACCUCGGAUCAGGUAGGGAUACCCGCUGAACUUAAGCAUAUCAAUAAGCGGAGGA